AUGUACCUGAAGCGAUCGCUACAGAAGAAAGGCGAUAACGGCGCCACGAGGAUUCGCUGCCGUGAGGAGGACCCCGACCCGUAUGAUGGCCACCGGAAGGUCACACACUUCUUUGGCUCGCUCAGACUGGCUCCAUUGACGACUUCUCUAUGGUGUAUUUGUUGGGUUCCUCUUGGCGUGUUGAACAAAAAUUGGCGGUCAUCACUGCUAUUUAAAGUUGGUUUGAUCAGUACUAGGGAAAACCCAUAUAUGGAAGGAAAUUAUUGUAGGCAUCUAAGAAUGCUGAUGAUUACACUCCGAGCAAGCCUUGUUGCGGCGCUGCAAGUGUUGCCCCCCUCCUCCCCAAGGGCAAGGUGA
rnacentral:rRNA from 1 species